UAGGGAAUCUUCGGCAAUGGGGGCAACCCUGACCGAGCAACGCCGCGUGAGUGAAGAAGGUUUUCGGAUCGUAAAGCUCUGUUGUAAGAGAAGAACGUGUGUGAGAGUGGAAAGUUCACACAGUGACGGUAACUUACCAGAAAGGGACGGCUAACUACGUGCCAGCAGCCGCGGUAAUACGUAAGUCGCGAGCGGUGUCCGGAGUUAUUGGGCGUAAAGCGAGCGCAGGCGGUUUAAUAAGUCUGAAGUUAAAGGCAGUGGCUUCACCAUUGUUCGCUUUGGAUACUGUUAAACUUGAGUGCAGAAGGGGAGAGUGGAAUUCCAUUUGAAGCGGUGAAAUGCGUAGAUAUAUGGAGGAACACCGGUGGCGAGAGCGGCUCUCUGGUCUGUAACUGACGCUGAGGUUCGAAAGCGUGGGGAGCAAACAGG
rnacentral:rRNA from 1 species